GUGAUAGUGUCGACAAUGCUUCGGGAUGGGUUCCCUUUUCCAUUUCGGCUGUCUGCAAAAUUUAUUCUUCCACCUCCUCGCCUUUCUUGACCCCUGUCACCAGCCAUGCCUUUCAUCGGCGAGCCAACAACCACGCUAAAAUGGUAGCUCACGUCUGUCCAGCCUCCCCCAUCGUCGACCUCCAUAUAUAGAGGUCUGCUCCAUGAGCUAAAAAAUGAAGAAGACUUUACUCUUCCUUUUGCUGUACCUGACACACCUACAAAAAAAAUCGCAAUCGCCAAAAAAAUUGCCCCAAGCAAUUAGAGGUUGCCAUCUUUGAACCGCCACAACCUUUGUAGCAUGUCUAUGUGAUUUCUUGAAGUUUGAAAUAAUUAUAAUUACUACCAAUCAGCUCAACAUGUGUUAAUUCUCAAGUGACUAGUGACAAGUGAAAAUAUAUAACUAGAUUAUAAGUUAAUUUCAAAGUUUAAACCAACAAAUACAGGGAGAUUAACCCACUCCAAAUGUAAUAACCCACUCCAAAUGUGGGGUGAUUAAGUAAAAAGGGACGGAUUAUGGAGCCGGGUCCGAGUUAGGUUUAGGGGAUAAAAAGAAAGUUGGAAAGAGAAAGAAGGAACGGGCAAAAGAGAGGGCACCAUGCAUAGUAAAAGAAAAAAGACAGUGGGUGAGAAGAUCAUCCGGAGAAAACGGCGGAAGAACGAUCAAGGUGUCGGGGAGCUCCAGUAGCGUGGUGUGUUCUGUGUGUAAGGGGAAUGGCUCAGACUGUGCAGGUAUGUAGUGAUUAAAAUAUGCAAAGAAAAGUGGAGAGUUGAUAGACUUAGUGUAACAUACAGUGGUAAACUUAAAACGAUUGUAAAAAGUUGUAGGGUAAAAAUAGUAAUUAACUUUCUUCCCCAACGACUAGAUUGUGCAGUAGUCGUUGAGAUUUCCGGGAGAUCGACGCAGUCGUUUGUUUGAAAGUUCGGUCGUAACACUUAGAUGCAUAGAAAGUUAUUGGAGGGGAAGGGAUAGUUGGGAUGGAGAUCGGGUUGGAGACUUAUAUCUGGACAGAAAUUAUAUUAUUUUCAAUCACAUUCUUUAAUAGAUCAAUUUUUUUUUUCAUAAACCCAUGAUAACUUGAAUUGUGUUAGUGGUUGAGUUAAUACGUUUUUAUAGUCUUUGACAUGGUUUUAUUUAAUUAAUUGUUUGACAUGUAUUUUAAUUUACCGAGUGCUCCUAUCUAGUUAGGAAUUAGGAUAAUAUCGUAUUAUUAGGGAUUUCAUCGAUCGAUCUGUUGCAUGACCUUUAAUAUGGUGGUUCAUCGUUACAUUGUAGUCCUUAGGGGGAUGUGAUCUGGUUGUUUUUUUGUUUGUUAAGGUUACUUUGAUUAAAAAUAAAUAAGUUUCAAUAAUUGCAAUAUUAGAUUAAGCUAAUUAUCUUACCUAAUUGCCCGACGGUUAACCGCUGCUAAUCUCCUCCAUCCUUCUCGUGGAUGAGCAUAAGGAGGGCGUCCCAUUGGAGCAACGCCCUUUCCUCCUUGUCUGUCUUGCAUUUGCGCUUGAAUUUCCUCUCGUCAAACCCAAUCUCAGCCAUCUCGAUGCUUCGCCUGAGCAUUUGAUGUUUCGUAUCUGCCUUAGCUUGCAUUCUCUGUUGAUUUCUUUGCUUCCAUAUGUGGAAUAGCACUAUCCCCAGCAUAUUCCAUUGCAGUCCCCAGCACGAUCCCAGUGUGGUCGUGUUUAUCUCGCAGGCGACAUCUUCAAAUGAUUCAAUUGCGUUUGUCUUCAUCAGAGCUCCAGUUGCAUCCAUCGCCUCCUUGAGUACCCAUUUCGAGUAUUCACAGUUGAAGAACAGAUGAUUUAAUGUUUCUUGCUCGCGGUCGCAUAGCGUACAUUCCCCAUCGAUUGUCAUGCCUCGGCGUAUAAGCCUGUCUUUGGUCGGUAAGUUUGCCCACCGGAUCCUCCAUAGAUUCAGUGUCACUUUCUCGAUUUUAUUCGCCCAAAUACCUCUUGUCAGUUCGUUCUUGGGGUAUUCCGGCUUCAGGGUGUCUGUGAUCUAGUUGUUGUUUUAUGCAUAUUUAUUUGCUGAUAUGAAUAUAAAUUUCUAUUUUCGUUACUUAAUUAGAUGAAUGUGUUAUUAUUAUUAUUACAUUGAAUAGGUGAUUAAAUGACCGAAUAACAAAUAGAUUUGAAUGUUUUGGACAUCCAACUGUACGGUGACUGAUGACUGGCUGAUAUUAUUGAUAACCGUGAUCGAACUAGUAGUAUUCAUAUUGUGAUUGCAUGUGAAUGCAGGAAUGAGUUAGCCACUACCUAAAUAGGUUAUCCGAACCCGGAGUGCAUCUAGGAAGAAGCAAAUUAGAAG
rnacentral:lncRNA from 1 species